AACAAAUUUCUGUAGUUUUCACAGCAUUAUUACUGUAAAAUGAGCAAAUGCUUACUGUAGAACUUGUAUACAGCAUGUUGCUGUAGAUCUGCAAAGCAUCAUGGUCUUUUUUCAACGGCGGGUAAAUUCUACAGUAAAAAUAUUUUUCCUGUGAAUCACAAUACAGCAAUUUCUAAAGGAUUUUUUUCUUCAGCCAAGGAAAGCUACGAGAUUCCACACUUUCAUCUGAAUUUUUACUUCAGAAAGGGUUGAUGACGUAUGCGAGUGCGACCUCCGCACGCAGGCUGAAACCAGUCUCUCGAGCAGCUGAGGAGAUAUGAACGCAGCUGAGGAGAUAUGAGGAAACUUCCACCUACAGUAAGCAGAUGCCGAGGCCCAGAUUUCCAUGCUAAGCACUCCAAGGCUCAUCAUGCUCGGAGAGUCCAAUCUGAGGGCAAAAAAUGGAUGCUUUCCAUCGAGUGCUGAGUUCUCCCUUCAAUUGAGUGACGGUUGUGAUUUCACUUCUGCUCUAGCCUUUUUGCGUCAUACUAUGUAUGAGGCAGCCACUACAUUGGGAUUUAUCCAGAGGGUAGAGUCCAGCCCAGGAAGUCAACUAGUUCAUGUCCAGAUUUAAAAGAAUAAUAUUUCUGAAAAAAAGGUCUUGGAGAAAAACAAUAUUCAGGUUUGAAAUCCUGCUGUAAAUGUAAAUCAUUUAACUUUUAUGCAUUUGUAAUUUACCAGAAACUUUUUAAUAAAUAUUGAUUGUUUUGUGUGUUCAGAAAAAAAGUGUUUUUGUAUGUUCAGAAAAGUGUUGAAAUUAAAUGAAACAUUCACAGAAAAAUGUUAACAUAUUUAAAAAAAUGUAUAUGUUCAGAAAAGUUUUGAGAUGUUCACAGAAAAAAUGUAACACAAAAAAUGUAUGCUAUGCUAUUUUUAAUUUAUGAAUUUUUGUAAUUUAAAGUGAUAAAAUAAAUGGCAUUUUUGUGACAAA